rnacentral:rRNA from 1 species
CAGUCGCCGCGGGAAUACGUAGGGUGCGAGCGUUAAUCGGAAUUACUGGGCGUAAAGCGUGCGCAGGCGGUUUUGUAAGACAGAUGUGAAAUCCCCGGGCUCAACCUGGGAACUGCCUUUGUGACUGCAAGGCUAGAGUACGGCAGAGGGGGAUGGAAUUCCGCGUGUAGCAGUGAAAUGCGUAGAUAUGCGGAGGAACACCGAUGGCGAAGGCAAUCCCCUGGGCCUGUACUGACGCUCAUGCACGAAAGCGUGGGGAGCAAACAGGAUUAGAUACCCGCGUAGUCCCUGUCUCUUAUAA